rnacentral:rRNA from 1 species
UACGGAGGGGGCAAGCGUUGUUCGGAAUUACUGGGCGUAAAGGGCGCGCAGGCGGCUGCUCAAGUCAGGCGUGAAAGGCCUGGGCUCAACCCGGGAAUUGCGCUUGAGACUGGGCUGGCUUGAGUGCGGGAGAGGAUGGUGGAAUUCCCAGUGUAGAGGUGAAAUUCGUAGAUAUUGGGAAGAACACCGGUGGCGAAGGCGGCCAUCUGGACCGCAACUGACGCUGAGGCGCGAAAGCUAGGGGAGCAACAGG